rnacentral:rRNA from 1 species
GAGUGAACGCUGGCGGCAGGCCUAAUACAUGCAAGUCGAACGGCAGCACGGCAGAGCUUGCUCUGUGGGUGGCGAGUGGCGGACGGGUGAGGAAUACAUGGGAAUCUGCCCAGUCGUGGGGGAUAACGUAUGGAAACGUACGCUAAUACCGCAUGCGCCCUUCGGGGGAAAGCCGGGGACCUUCGGGCCUGGCGCGAUUGGAUGAGCCCAUGUCGGAUUAGCUAGUUGGCGG